rnacentral:rRNA from 2 species
UUGGGCGUAAGCGCGCGCAGGCGGUUUCUUAAGUCUGAUGUGAAAGCCCACGGCUCAACCGUGGAGGGUCAUUGGAAACUGGGGAACUUGAGUGCAGAAGAGAAAAGCGGAAUUCCACGUGUAGCGGUGAAAUGCGUAGAGAUGUGGAGGAACACCAGUGGCGAAGGCGGCUUUUUGGUCUGUAACUGACGCUGAGGCGCGAAAGCGUGGGGAGCAAACAGGAUUAGAUACCCUGGUAGUCCACGCCGUAAACGAUGAGUGCUAAGUGUUAGAGGGUUUCCGCCCUUUAGUGCUGCAGCUAACGCAUUAAGCACUCCGCCUGGGGAGUACGGUCGCAAGACUGAAACUCAAAGGAAUUGACGGGGG